ensembl:lncRNA
UAAGCACUAUUUAACACUAAUAAAAACAAAAAAGUCAAUGCUUAAAUUGCAAUCGAAGCUAUGUAUGCAAUUGAAAAAAAAAUAAUAACUGGUGAGGCGAGAAAAGAAAAUAUGCAUGAGAAAAAUGAAAUACAAAAAAUAUAUAUACAGUAUACGGAUAAAAAUAAAAAAAAAAGUACAGUUAAAGAAAAAGAAAAAGACAAAACGCCUAUGAUUCAAGAAGAAGAAAAAAAAAACAAGAAUUUUAUAAUUUACAAUAUAAAAAAUUUAGAAAAGAGUAAAAAAAAAAAAAAAAAUGAGCUUAAUAAUCAAAUAGAGUACACAUCAAUUAAAAACACAAAAAAAAAUAAUAGACUAGUAAAAAUUCAUUCUGACAGUAAUAAUCAUAAUAAUAAUCAUAAUAAUAUUACUAAUGAAAUAAACAAUAAUUAUAUUAGUAAAAGUAAUACUGAUGAUAUGAACAAUAGUAACAAUAUAAACAAUAAUAAUAAUAAUAUCAACGAAAAUAAAAUUAUUAGUGACAAUAACAGUAUUAAUAAAAAUAUUACGAUUAACAGUAGCAAUAUUAGCAAUAAUAAUAAUAUCAACGAAAAUAAAAUUAUUAGUAACAAUAACAGUAUUAACAAAAAUAAUUACUACAGUAAUCAUAAUAGUAACAACAAUAAUAACAGCUGUUGUAGAUAUGUGCAUUGUAAAAAUGUUUUACAUGAUAAUUUUGAUAAAAAAAUAAAAAAUAAAAAAUUGGAAAAUGAUAAAGAACUAAUAAACAAAGUUAAUUUUGAAAAAAAUCGUAAUAUUACUAUUAGUAGUAAUAGCAGUAAUAAUAUUAAUAGCAAUUGUAACAGCAGUAAUAACAUUAAUAGCAUUUAUAAUAGUAAUACUAAUAUUUGUGAUUGUUUGGAUAAUUAUAAUGAAUGUGUUGAUGGGGUAAAAAAUAACAAAAAAAAAUCGAAACUGUACUAUUCAAAUGAUAAAGCCAUUUUAAAUGACAUGUUCAUACGAGAAAAAAUACACAAUUCAAAUGACAAAUGCAUUAAUAAAAAUAUGGAGAAUUAUGCAGAUACAAACUGUUAUAUUGAUAUUAGCACAUACCAAGAUUUAUACGCAGAACAUGAUAGUAAAGUUGAUAUCAGUAAAUCAAGUAUAGAUCAUAAUUUUUUUAAACGAAAAAAACAUAACGUGAAUCGUAUUGAUGAUAUAUCUUUUAAUAACUUCCGUUAUAAUGCGUCAUUAAGUGAUGGGUCAUACGUUUAUAGGAAAUAUAAUGGUAUGUCAUGUGACGACAUGUCACAUGAUGAAACGAUACAUGACGACAUACCAAAUGACGAUAUACCACGCGAUGAAAUUUCAUAUAGUAACAAAAAAUACAAAUCUGAUAAAAUAAAACGAUUUGUUUUUAUUGUUUUAAACGGAUGCUUAGUUGUUUUUUUAGCUGUGGCCAAUAAUAUAUGCGGAAGAAUGAGAAAUAGAGUUUUAAAAAAUUUUGACAGUUUAACUGCAUCAUACAAUGCUAUAGUAUAUGUGCUAAUUUAUUUAAUUUUGUGCCUUUUGUAUUAUAGACUAGGGAGUAUUAAAGCAGGACAUUGGUAUUAUAUAUAUCCAUGUAUGCGAAAAUUAUAUAAAAAUGAUAGAAAAAAUUAUGAUAGUAGUAACAGAAAAAGAACAAAAAAGAAGUUACCUUUAAAUAAUGCGAUGGAGUUAAAUAUUUACCAAAAGAAUAAAAAAAGCAAAAAUGGAACAAUGAAAUAUGUUAAUACUCAUAAAAAAAAGAUAUAUGAUCCGUUGUUAGAAAAUGUAUAUAGUGAUGCUAUUAAUGAAAGCAGUUAUGAUUAUUCUACUGAAGAUAACGCUGCAUGGGUUAAAGUAGAAGACACGUGUAAGAAUAACUAUAUUGUUAAAUGUGCAAACAAUCAUGUAGGUAAGUAUACUAAUAAAUUUGCAACUAAAAAUGAACAUACAUUAAAAUAUGGUAACAAUGAAGCAGUGCAUAUGUGUACAUCUCACCAAAAACCUAACAAAAUAAACAAAAGUGAAUUGUAUGAAAGUAAAAAGUUAAAUGAUAAUGGUGCCUAUUAUAUUGAAGAUAAAAAAACGCUAAAAAGUGAUUUAAACAUUGAAUAUUCUGAUAAAAAAUGGAAUAGCAAAUUAUGUGAUAAUCAUAUAUAUGAAUCCAAAGGAAGGGUAAGAAAUGAAGUGAAAACAAUGGGAGAAAUAUCAUCAAAUAAAAUUUUACCAUAUAAUGAGUAUAAAAUAAAAUAUUUUCCAGAUGAUUACGAAUAUAAUAAAUACAAUAUAUGUAUGAUAAAUAACAAACAAUACGAAAAAAGAAAUAAAUCACAAAUGAGUAUAAAAGAUAAGUGGGUAAGCAUGGGGGCUUAUAAAUAUGUUAUUGUUAUAGCUAUAAUUGAUAUAAUGUCUAACACUUUGUAUUUUGUAUCUCAACAAGCUAUACCAUUAACUAUAUUAUUAUUACUGAAUCAAAUGAAUUUUAUUUUUUCUAUUAUAUUAUCUGCUUUAAUAUUAAAAAGAAAAUAUAAUAUACACCAUGUUAUAUCUGUUAUAAUUGUAUUGAUUGGAUAUCUUUUUUUUAUUUCCCUUACGUAUAUAAAGAAAAUAUAAAUGUGACUUUGUAUAACACAAUAGUUAAGAAUUAUUCUAAUUUUAAUUUAUUCACUGGUUUAAAUGAUAGCAUAUACAAUAUAAAUGUAGCAAAUGUUUAUAAUAAUAGUAUAUUAGGAAGCAGCCAUGAUGGUACAUAUGAUAGUAGUAAUGGUACGUAUACUAAUACUGAGGAUUCUUCUUUUGAUUCUGUAAAUGUUCCUAAAUUUAGUCUAUUUACAUCA